UUGAAACAGCUGCUUAAAGCUAGCAGAGCCUGUGUCUCAGAGGUGCAAUUAAGGGACCUUAUGCAAACUGUUGUUUUCUAUAACCCAUGGUUCCCAGAAGAAGGCUUGCCAAACCUAGAGCUCUGGGAACAAGUGGGGAGAAAUCUUAACAUCAUGCACAAGGGCAACGGGUCCCAGUAACAUCUUUAACGUUAUGGGCCUUAGUCAGGGCUGCUUUGUCCCCACUCUACACAGAAGAGCCUAAAAAGGGAAGGGAGGAAGAACCAUCAUCUACCUUACCACCUCCUCCUUCUCCCUCAGCCCCGCCGUUACCGAGUAAAGGUGCCACAGAGGAGACAAAUAUUUUCCCUGAGCCCUCUCUCCCAAUAUAUUGGAAAAAAUACAAGGGAUACACUACUGUUAUGGGACCCUGUCUUAGUCAAGUGGAAUUAGAAGGGAGCUCUUGACCUGCCCAGUGAUGCAAGAUCAACAAGACAAUCAGUAAGAAACGUACAAACAUUAAGAAGAGCCUAUUCAGAAAAGACAGUCUUCCAGUUACCUUAUAAAGGCAAGGAAGAACUGGUAGUUUGAAAUAAAAUAAUUUCAAAAAGUGCUGUACCCCCUGAGUAUUCUGCUGUAAUAAGGAUGAAAUCCCAUAAGUCAAUUUUUUCUCGGGAUUGUGAAGUUCACUGCACACAACCAGCCUUAUUUUACAUCUCUUUCUUUUAUUUCAACCAUCUGGGGACUGGGCAGAAGUCAUGGUCAGAGGGGCACAUAUGUAUUGCUUUGAUGAUGGGGGCAGAGAACAAACAGGAAGAACUGGGAAAUGAAAAUUGCUUUACUUCUUAUAUUCUGACUAGAAAGGCAACCCAAAUGGGAAUCAUAACAGGGAUAGUUCAGUGGCAAAAAGACACCCUUAAAAAUAGAAGCUAGAAGUUAAAGGAGGGGUGACAUCACACUUUUAGAGUUGACAUCAGAGGAAGUUGCAUCUCUUGGUGCCAUGUUAUACAUGCACCGUCGGGGCAGCAGAACUGAUUAGUGUGCCCAGUUGCACAAAAGGACUGUAAUGUGCAUGGGCCCCAGUGUUAGCCAUGUGACUCUGUUAAUGGAUCCAGCUUGAUCUUUACGCUCUUCAACUAAGCUAGUGCCCAAGCAGUUCUUGUAUUUCAGCUUAGAGGGGGUUCUGGAAAAGCUCUUGGUGAUAGCAUUUUUGGAGAACGGAGAGAAAAAAACAUUUCUAUUAAGUCUGCCUCAAAAAGUAGGAAUUUCAGGUCAAUGUUAAAUGCCUGGCAUGAGUUUUAUAUAUAUUUUUAAUAUUUCAGGCUUAUUUUACCAAAAGAAAGCUGGUGUAACACGUUCACAUCAGACAAAAUAGGUAUCAAAGCAAAAGGCAUUAGAGAUGAAGAGGAUCACAGCACAGUGGGAAAAGGUUCAGUUCAGAUAUAGGUACAUAUUAUAUAAAGCAAAAAUACACAGAAACAAAAGGAAAAUAAUUCGAUAUUUAAAGAUAUUAGGUUAAGUGAAAUUUUUAUAAGUCUUGAAAACAAAUCAGAAACAGGUGAGACACAGGAAAAUCAUUUUUAGCAACAAAGUACUAAGAGGGUGCAUGGACAAGGAAAACUUUUCCCUCCCUAAGCCCAUACCUCUAGUUGAUAAUCUGUUCCCAUCCCCAGGUCCCAGCAAACAUUCUAAGACCCAAGAACAGGUUUACUGGGAGGAAUUCGAGGCACUGCAGUUCAUGUGCUGAGUUAAAUAAGCUCUGGAAAUAGAAGCUGAAGAAUCACAAUACCCAAUCUAAUUUAACCAAAGUCUAAUUAGAGAAUUUACCAGAAAUUGAGAGACUUGCUAGACAUAAUUUCCUGUUAGGAAGUAGUAUUUUUCUCCUUUCAAAUUUUUAAAUGUUUGGUAUAAUCAGCAAAAUAGAAGUAAAUUAUCAAUUUAAGCUUAACAGAGAUAUUUUGUUAAGUAAUAUCACAGUACCUUAUAAAUAAAAAAUAUUAAUUAUUUCCAGUUAGUCACACGUAUUAUUACUAAUAAUGAGUAAAUACAAAAAUAUACACUCAAACAGAAAGAGCCAAACUGGCUCCCAUAAUAAUAGUAGGUAUUUUCCUAAGCCUUGUACACAGUAAUAAAUAAAUAAAUCUGCCACAUCUUUACCAUUCUUUAAAUGACAAGCUGGGUUUUGAUGAAUUCCACUUUUUCAGUCAAAAAUCAUAUUCAUGAUUUAAAUUGUGCUGUAUGAAAUUGUCCCUUUUAUUUCUGUAUAUUCUCAGAUGAGAUGCAUACAUAUUGGUUCAAGACCUCUUGUUGCCUCUUUUUAACAUUGUCUUUGUAUCACUCGCAGCCCCCAAACAACAGGUUAAAACCAGCCCAACUGGUUAGUAAGAUUGAUUGAGAAAAAAGAAAAAGAAAAAAGUCAAAAUAGUUUAUACAAUAAAACUAUUAGGAGACUAUGAAAAGUUCGCUAAUGCAUUCAAUAGAACCUGAAAAAGAGCUAAAUAUGUACCUGCAACAGAGAGGAGGAGACUGACUGGCAGGAGACCUUGCAACAUGCUGGGUGAUUCCAGGAGCACGGUGUCUGCUCUUCUCGCUCAGCUAUUAUGUGUCAGACACUGAGAUUGCAGUUGAAAAAACACAAUCAUGGCCGGGAGUGGUGGCUCAUGUCUGUAAUCCCAGCACUUUGGGAGGCUGAGGCAGACAGACUACCUGAGAUCAGAAUUUGAGACCAGCCUGCCCAACAUGGUGAAACCCCAUCUCUACUAAAAAAAAAAAAUUAGCUGGGUGUGGUGGUGGUCACCUGUAAUCCCAGUUACUCAGGAGGCUGAGGUAGGAGAACUGCUUGAUUGCUUGAACCCAGGAGGCAGAGGCUGCAGCGAGCUGAGAUUGCAACAACACACUCCAGCCUGGGCAACAGAGCGAGACAGUGUCUCAAACAAACAAACAAACAAAAAACACAAUCACUUUCAUUGAGAUGUUCACAAUCUGACAAAGAUAAGUUCAAUUACCAUAAAAUUGCACAGAGUGAGUACCACCUAUAAAUGAUCACAAUAUCACAAGGUGUUUAGUGUUACAAUAGAUUUAUCAAUAGAAGUCAGAGGUCUACACCAAACAGGGCAGGGAGUGCAUCCUGGUGGCAGGAGUCCUGGGAAAAGGACUCCCUAUUUCAUAAAUGGUGCUGGGAUAGCUGGCUAGCCAUAUGCAGAAGAAUAAAACUGGACCCCUACCUUACACCAUAUACAAAAAUUAACUCAAGAUGGAUUAAAGAUUUAAAUGUAAGACCUCAAAUUAUGGAAAACCUAGAAAAUGACAUUCUGGACAUUGGCCCUAGGAAACAAUUUAUAACUUAAGUCCUCAAAAGCAAUUGCAAUGAAAACAAAAAUGGAUGAGUGGGACCUAAUUAAAUUAAAGAGCUUCUGUAGAGCAAAAAGAAACUAUCAGCAGAGCAAACCAACAACCUACAUAACGGGUGAAAAUAUGAGCAAACUACACAGCUGACAAAAGUCUAAUAUCCAGAAUCUAUAAAGAACUUAAACAAUUGAACAAGCAUGAGAUAAGUAACCUCAUUUAAAAAUGGGCAAAAGGGUGGGUGCAGUGGCUCAUGCCUGUAAUCCUAGCACUCUGGGAGGCCAAGGUGGGCAGAUCACCUGAAGUCAAGAGUUCGAGACUAGUCUAGCCAACAUAGUGAAACCCCAUCUCUAUUAAAAAUACAAAAAUUAGCCACGUGUGGUAGGCACCUGUAGUCCCAGCUACUUGGGAGGCUGAGGCAGGAGAAUCACUUGAACCCGGAGGAGGAGGUUGCAGUGAACCAAGACUGCGCCACUGCACUCCAGCCUGGGUGACAGAGCAAGACUCCGUCUCAAAAAAAAAGAAAAAAAAAAAAAAAAAGGGUCAAAAGAAAUGAACAGACACUUCUCAAAAGAAGAAAUACAAGCAGUUAAAAAAACAUGUGAAAAAAUUGCCCAACAUAACUAAUUAUCAGAGAAAUGCAAAUCAAAACAAUGAGGUACCAACUCACACCAGCCAAAAUGGCUAUUACUAAAAAGUCAAAAAAUAACAAAUGCUGGUGAGGCCACAGAGAAAAGGAAACACACAAUGUUGGUAGGAAUGUAAAUUAGUUCAGCCACUCUGGAAAGCAGUUUGGAGAUUUCUCAAAGAAAUUAAAACAGAACUGUCAUUUGACCGAACAAUCCGUUUACUGGAUAUAUAGCCAAAAGAAAAUAAAUUAUUCUACCGAGAAGACACAUGCUUAUGUUCAUCACAGUACUAUCCACAAGAGCAAUGACAUGGAAUCAAGCUAGGUGCCCAUCAGUGGUGGAAUGGAUAAAUACAAUGUGGUACAUAUAUACCUUGGAAUACUAUGCAGCUAUAAAAAAGAAUUAAAUUGUGUUCUUUGCAGCACAUGGAUCACCUAGAGGCCAUUAACCUAAGUGAAUUAAUGCAGAAACAGAAAACCGGUACCUUACACCAUAUACAAAAAUUAACUCAAGAUGGAUUAAAGAUUUAAAUGUCAGACCUCAAACUAUGGAAAACCUAGGAAAUGACAUUCUGGACAUUGGCCCUGGAAACAAUUUAUGACUUAAGUCCUCAAAAGCAAUUGCAAUGAAAACAAAAAUGGACAAGUGGGACCUAAUUAAAUUAAAGAGCUUCUGUACAGCAAAAAGAAACUAUCAGCAGAGCAAACCAACAACCUACAUAACGGGCGAAAAUAUAAGCAAACUGCACAGCUGACAAAAGUCUAAUAUCCAAAAUCUAUAAAUACUGCAUGUUCUCAAUUAUACAUGGGAGCUAAACGCUGUGUACCCAUGGACAUAAAGAUGACAACAAUAGACACUGGGUACUGCUGGAGAAGGGAGGGAAGAGGGGAAAAGGCUGAAAACCUAGCUAUUGGAUACUAUGCUGAGUACCCGGGUGGCAGGAUUAUUUGUACCCUAAACCUCAGCAUCACGGAAUAUAUCCAUGUAACAGAUGGAUAUGUACCUCCUUGAAUCUAAAAUAAAAGUUGGAAAAAAAGAAUUAUGAGAAUAAAUAAGGACAAUAUAUUAUAGCACAUUAGUUUAUGGCUGGUAGUGUUUGGAAUUGUUGGAGCAAAGAAUGCCUGAGAGAAUGGGAAGAUAUCCUGCUAAGUAUUUGUGCUUGACUUUGACGCUGUGGUGAAUGGUCACCACUGAUGGGAUCGAAUGAGAAGUAUAACCUUCCUGCUUGCUUCUUGAGGAGGGGAGUGCCCUGGAAAUGGUGAAUGAUGACAGUCUGCAUGCUGAUCCAUGUGGAAUUUUAAAUUGGCACUUGUUCUUCGGCUCUUUUCAAUUCUCUUGUAGUCGUGACAUGCCUUUGAUCAGUUUGUUCCAGUUAUCAUUCUCAUAAUUUUUCAUCAUUCUUCAUAGCCCAGAGUUAUAAUUCCCUUUACUGUCAAAGAAUUUAUACCAAUCUCUAAAUGAAUUUUAUUUUCUGCUUCCCUGGUUAUUUCCUCAAAGUUGUAUCAAGUAAGCAUAAAAGUUGAAUUUGGGCAGUCAGUUUAAUUUUCCCUUUUGUUUCUUUGUGAUAAAUACAGCAUUAUCAUUGACAUCUUUCAUUGCCAUGACUUGUCAAACUCUUUGCCAGAAUAUAAAAUAUAAAUGGCAGAAAGAAGAGCUACAUGACUGAAAAAACAUAUAUAAUACAUGAAGAGGAGUACAGUAGAAUGAGAAAAAGCAUAAGGUAGCACUCAAAACCUGUGCUAAAACAUAUUUAACAAUGUUCUCUCUCUCUCUCUCUAUAUAUAUAUAUAAAAUAAAUUACACACAGGAAUAAUGCAUGCGUAUAUACAUAUCAUUACUAUUGACUCAUUACACACACACACACACACACACACACAGUCAUGGAUCACUUAACAAUGGGGAUACAGUCUGAGAAAUGUCAUUAAACGAUUUCGUUGGUUUGUGUUAGAGUAUACUUACACAAACCUAGAUGGUAUAGACUACCACACACCUAGGCUGUAUGGUAUAGCCUAUUGCUCCUAGGCUACAAACCUGUAUAGCAUGUUACUGUACUGUAUAGUGUAGGCAGCUGUAAUACAGUGGUAUCAUGAAACUAAAUAUAUCUAAGUAUAGAAAUGAUAUACAAUAUUAUAAUCUUAUAGGACCACAUCAUAUAUGCAAUCCAUCAAUGACCGAAAUGUCAUUUAUGUGGUACAUAACUAUGUAUAUACAUUUAUAUGUGUAUAUAUAUACACAUAUAAAUAUAUAUAAACCCUCCUUUUCUUUUUGAGAUGGUCUCGCUGUUGCCCAGGCUGGAGUGCAUUGGCAUGAUCCUGGCUCACUGUAACCUCUGCCUCCUGGAUUAAACCCUGUUUCUAUUAUAUACAGGUAUGUGCCACAUAAAUGACAUUUCAAUCAUCAAUGGAUUGCCCAGAUGAUGGUGGUACAUCACCACAUAUAAUUGUAUGUAUAUAUGUAUAUGUGUAUAAAAAUAUAUAUUUAGGAUAGUAUUUCAGAAAGAGAAAUAAUACAAGGUAUGAGUGCUGCAAAAGGAAGUAUGGAAUGGUGUAAAAUCAGAUGGAAAUUUCAGAACAAUUACCUUGGCAGCAGUGUAGAGAAUGACUCUAAAGCCUGAUUAGGGAAGAGAAAAGAUACCAGCUGUAAGUGAAAAUGAAAGAAAGCAAGAGUCUGAAUUUAAGCAGAAACAACAGGGAUGGAAAGAAGGGGAGAGAUUUGAGAAAUAUUUAUUAAGUAUAAUGGAGAGAUACAGUUAUUAAUUAGAUAUGGGGGUGCUGAAAUUAAAAAGAGGGUUUAUUCAUUAAAUAUUUAUGUAGUGUCUACUAUGUGCCAACUACUGGAAUAGGUUUUGGGGAUUAGGCUUUCAACACAGAGAUAAAAAUGUAUACAUGCUUGGAGAUUAGAAUCUAGUUGGAAUGGGAACGUGAGCAAAAUAAAUGCUAUGAAAAAAAUAAAACUAGAUGACAAGUUCUGAACAAACAUCCAUUGCUCAUUCCUACUGUUUCCUGCCAUGGGAAGACUACCCAGUAGCAUAACCUCCUAGCCCCUUUCUGACCCUUGUCUUAUUUUGCCAAGGCAAGUAGAGGAACCCAUCUGCCUUGCUUGUUUCUCUUCUCCUCUUGGGAGAACAUGUAUGCUCUGCUUCUCCAUCCUUAAGUAUCCAGGGAUGCAGUGAAGAGCUGUCCUCAUGUGGAACAGAGCCAGCCCCAUGGACUUCCUGGGAAAGGUAAAUGAGCCUACUGGAUUCUGGGGACCAGUGCUAGCAAACAUGCUAGUCCAAAUUUAUAAACCACAUUUUGGUCAUAUCCAGCAUUAACAAUUACAAGGGGGCUAUUUUAGUCUUUAUUUUCCUUGUCUGCUUUCUCAGAUGGCUCAGCGAUAUAGUGAGGAAGAUGAAUAUUUUUAAUUGCCUUAUCUUAAAGACAAACAAGAAGGGGUAGGAAGGAAGGAGAGCUGGGGCUACUUAUUCCUCUUUUGGGAGGUAACAGAUGUUGGGCUCUAAAUAAUGAGAACCUAAACGUGAAAAAACAUGGGAAGAGCAUUUCAGGUAGAGGGAACAGAAAAUGCAAAAGGAUGAGGCUGAAGCACAUUCAACAUGUCCAAGAACAAAACACGAAUCCAUGUGGCUGGAGUGACUGAAGGAGAAGAGUCAGUGGGAGAUGUGGGGAAAGACGGUAAGAAUGUUGAGCCUAAAAGUGGCUUAUUUCAAGUGCAAUGGAACACCCUUGGUGGAACUUCAGCACAUUUCUAAAAUUUAUCUACAG
rnacentral:lncRNA from 10 species